CUAUCGAUGGCACUAUCGAUAUAUCGAAUUUUUAUAUUUUUGCGUCGCUAUCGAUGGUUAUUGUUCACUAUCGAUAGUGGCAUUACCAUACAUUGCACAUCACUUGUUUUGGUGCAACUUUGCAGGUCGGCAGCAAAUUUUGGUAAAUUUUCGUUGGUGUUGGUGGCGGAAGGAUGGACAAAUUUCUCUUGAAAAACUCACAGGAUGGACAAGACAGCAGCAUUGAGGCAAUUGAGGAGGACAACCAGCUAGCAAAAAGGCAGCGAGUCGGAAGAUCAUCGGUGUGGGGCCAUUUCGAAAAAAUAAACAACGGUAUG